AGGAAAAAAAGGCAGUUAUCAACCAGAACUCUCAAGAAGGACUCAGCUUCAUCAGAGCUCCUCAGUAUAACUAAAUUAGAAGAUGGGCAGAGUCUGCAAGAGAAACCUCUUGAAGAUGGAACAUUGCACAAAGGUAGUCCUUUGUCCAGUAACCUGGGUGAGAGCCAGACGAAUGGCUGCGUUGCACACCCUCUGCCAGCAAACUCUCCGAACUCUCCGGGUCUGACAAACCCAAACCACCAAAAGAGAGGGACGUCUGAGAUGACAGAUUUAGAGCAUCCAAUAAGCCUUGGUCCACAAGCCUUAUGUCCGAA